AUUAUUACGAAGCAUGCGAAGAAUCAAAUUACACUGCAGUACAUAUUAAACAAUUUUCAAAAAAUAAAACCAAGUAGUGAUAUGAUACCUGCAGUAUUUAUUAUUAUUAUUAACAACGUAUAUUUUGUAGAUCAAACUGAGCUAAUAAAGGAAUACGUCGAAACAUGGUACACGACAUUUGCAGGCACGUUUCAUAAAAUGAAUAACACAGAAGAUUUACUGAAAAAAUAUCAAUUAAAGGAUUCCAUAAUAGAGAAUUUGGACAAAAUUAAGAGCAAAGUAUUAAUUCGCAAGAAACAAAUCAAAAGAGAGACACAGUAUUUUGAAAAUUUUUUUUUCUAAUUGGUGGAUGUAAAAAAAUUGCAGCUUUGCAUACGGA